rnacentral:rRNA from 1 species
UACGAAGGGGGCUAGCGUUGUUCGGAUUUACUGGGCGUAAAGCGCACGUAGGCGGAUCUUUAAGUCAGGGGUGAAAUCCCGAGGCUCAACCUCGGAACUGCCUUUGAUACUGGGGAUCUCGAGUCCGGGAGAGGUGAGUGGAACUGCGAGUGUAGAGGUGAAAUUCGUAGAUAUUCGCAAGAACACCAGUGGCGAAGGCGGCUCACUGGCCCGGUACUGACGCUGAGGCACGAAAGCUAGGGGAGCAAACAGG